UGUAGGUGCUGAAAAGUUUCGCUAUAAAUAGGCGGGCAUUUUGGUUCAAGGACGGCCACAAAGCAAGCAAGCAGCUAGCAUUCCUUGCAAAGACUAGAACAGAAAGAGAUCUCCAAGCACGCAACGAUAUGUCAACGCCGGCGAUGAAGAUCGGCCCGUAUGGCGGCCCAGGAGGUAAUCACUGGGACAUUAAUGCUCUCAAUCCGCCCAAAAGGCUUGUGAGCAUCCAGAUUUGGAGCACUGAUUCCUCCUGCGAAGGGGCCGGCGGGGUCGUCAACGGCAUCUCGUUCAGCUAUCUUGACAUGGCAGGGC